CAUUACUAUCACCCCUUCACAUGUGUUUCAGCAUUUAUUGUAUAGUGCCAGACACACUAUUUCAACUAUCCUCUGAGAAAGAUUCAUCACUUGUCAAAUCCUUUUUGAACUCCUACUACGUGCUUGGAACUUUCCUGGGCUUGGAAACCACAGAGGUGAAUGAAACACAGCCCCUUCCUUCUAGGGGCCCACAGUUUAAUAUGAAAAACUAAUAGGGUCUUGUUCUGUUGCCCAAGCUGGAGUGCAGCAGCAUGAUCAAAGCUCACUAUAACUUCAAAUUCUUGGGCUCAAGCAAUCCUCCCAUCAAGGGAAAGCAAACCUCCGGGGUCUGGAUUUGUGCCAUGCUUCAGUAGCAGGGUUUCUCAUCUGGGAAGUCUUUCUACAUGCAAAGAAUUUUCUGCAGGUGCCUAAGCUUCCACUAUGAAUAAGAAUAUUUCCUCAAGCCAAAUAGCAAGUAAUAACAGAAGAGGGAAGGGGGAUAUAUGUUAAACUUGCCCUCUCACAUUUUCUUUUUGAAGCUUUCUUUAUGAUUCGAAAGAAAUGACAAUCUGAAAGGACUAGGAAAAGACUAUUCUCAAUGACAAAUUAAAUACAUUGUAUCUUCGAGUCAAGGUAUAAUUAAAAUCACUCUAUGGCGUGCCUUUGACUGUGAUGGAAGAUAAAAAAGAAUCAUAAAUGGGAACCACAGAUAUCUUUUACCCACGGAGAAACAUUUUCAUCAAAUAAUAAUUAGAAUGUUUUCUGUUUAUUUCAGUGACUGCACAUAAGUAACUCUCCCUUAUGACUCACUGAGCAAAAGAGUCCCCCCAAAAUCCCAUUAGUAUCAGUGAAAUACAGUAAAUUUCAUCAUAGUCAAUGUGUAAGAAUGGCAUAAUAAGAUCUUUGCUGAUUAAAGGAAUGUGUGAUUGCAUCUGCUGGGCAUUGGGCUGCAUCUACUGAUAAAAAGUAAGCGAAUGUUUACUUAAACUAUAAAAGAAAGGAAAUGUACACCUUGAGGCAAGGACAAUGAAUUCCAAAGACGAUGCCUUCCAUUGUGAUUACAUGCAAAAGAAAAACCAAGUGCCCAUUCACACACAGUGCAAUGUGGGGAAGGGUUAAUAUUCUGGACAGUAGAUGGUGCUGAAACCUCAGCAGAAGGAGAGUGUCCCUCUUUUUCUGUUUAACCUGCUCCUGUCAGCAAUUUUCUGCAUGUUUUCAGAUUCCUCUGUUUAAGGACUGCAUCUUGGGAAAGAAGCAAUAAUUCGCAUAUUCUAAAGCAGUACUUCUUUGUUUGCUUAUAGAUUUGAGAUGAGGUCACCGAGGAGCAUAUGAAGCUUAAAAUAGAAGGUAUUAAUAUCUUGGUAGACAAUAUUAGCUACCCCCUCUUUAUUUGAUAUAGACAGGAUUGAUUGAUGAAGCUUUCUGCAAAACAAAGCCUUAAACAAUCCUCCCUCCCCCACCCCCAAUAGUCUGGUCCACCACUGACUAGCUUGUUUGAGGACUUGUCUGUAAUUCUAAGUGAACUUUUUCCUGAAACCCUUCAGAAUGGGCAACUAUUAAUAGAUAUUAGGUCCCCUGCAAUUGUUGAAAUGCCCCCUUUGUGUGCAGCUAGGUAAGGCAUUAUGAGUUUAACUAAAAGAGACUCUUCUUCCUGCUGCAUUGCUCGCUUCAUAGUGAGACCUAUAUACACAUUCAGUGAAAUUUAAAGGAGGGAGAAUGAAAAUCUGAAGAGCCCUGAAUUAAGACUUUGUUACUGUUUUUCAUUUUGGAGAGAAAGAGGCAAAUCAUUGGAAAACUCACUCUUGUAAGGAGCAGGUUUGAGGGUCACUGGACAUUUAGUCCAAUCUUCCACACUAGAGAUAGGGAAACUUUUCUCUCUAUUGAGAGUUGCUGACCCAAAGAGAAAAAUAAAAAACCAAUCGAGGGUCACGCAAGUAUAAAGCAACUUAAUUUAGUUUAUUUUCAGAGAGAUGUUUACAACUUUUCGUGUCUUUUAAAUUAGGUACAGGGAACAUAAAAUUUAAAGAUACAUCAAAUAAUGUAAAAGUUAGAUCUAAUCUAAUAUAAAGGAUAAUGGAGGUGGAAAGAAUGUUAAAGCCAAGAGACAAGGAAAAGGAGAUGAAAAUGCAGAGAAACAGAGCAAGACAGACAAGCAGAGAGCGGCAGAAUCCUCUACUCCACAAAGACAUCAAAUGCUAAUAAAUGACAUUCACACCAAGUGGAGAACACAGAGCCAGAAAAGAAUUUUUAGAAAGUGAAAAGGCAGUCUUUUGUGGAGCACCAUUCCAUCUUUUGGUUUUUAUGAUAUUAAAAUAGAAACCCUUUGUUGGGCAAGCUCUAUCUUUGUAAUUACAGUCAUUUGCAGAUAAGCUGUAUCUUGCCACUUCCAACUAAAGGGUGCCUGAAAUUUAAGUCAGAGUUCUGACGUGACCCAAAGUCCCACAUUUUCCAAAUCCACAUUUACUGUUCUCUAAAAUGACAAGUAGGCUUUGCCAUAGUGAUAAGUGAAGCACUCUAGUACUACUACAGACUGAAAGUAUUGAGAAACGGUCAGCAUUAAAAAUUGGCAGGAUACUUCAGAAAGAGAUUAAGGGCAGAAAGAGAAAUAGAUUUUUGGCUAGGUCUUGGUUAGUCAAAAAACAUUAAUGACUUCCUCAUUCCACAAACAUGUUAGUUACUUGAAUUAAAACAAACAAAACCCCU